rnacentral:lncRNA from 1 species
CCUCAGCACUUGAGAGGCCUUUGUCAAUUGGCUGCUGAGGUGAUCUGGGAAAGGAAAUUUCUAUUUGAGGAGGAGGACCUGAGGAGGAAUAACUUAGAGGCAGCUGAUGUCUCUGCCUUGUUAGACACGAAUAUUUUUCAGAAAGACAUUGACUGUGAAAACUGCUACAGCUUCAUUCACUUGAGUUUCCAAGAGUUUUUUGCUUCCAUGUUCUAUGUCAUGAGUACAGACAAAGAAGGGGUGAAGAGCUCUGAUUCCUCCAUUCCAGAUUUCAAAAAAAACUUGUGGAGGAGUGUAGCAGGAAGCAUGCCAGCUUUGUAGUCCUGGUGGCGCGCUUCCUGUUUGGCUUCCUAAAUGCUGAGACAGGAAAGGAGCUGGAGAGGAAGUUCAGGUGCAGGAUGUCACCAGAAAUGAAGUCACAAUGACUCCAAUGGGCUCAGAGAGAAACCAAGAGAAAUUAUUUACCAUUCUUUCUUUUUGAAAGUCCUUUCCCAGAAUACUAUUUUCAUUUAUAUGAGACUCAAGAUGCUGAGUUUGUAGCACAGGUACUGGUUAACAUUCGGGAAAUCAAAAUCAAAGUUUUCCAGCAGUAUGAUGCCCUGAGUGCAAUUUUCUGCAUUAAGCACUGUCCUGGUGCAUGGAGAAUUUGCUUUUCUUGUAUUUCUGAUUUAUCUGCCAGUGUUUGGCAAGAUCUCUUCUCUGUGGUCAACAAGAAUCAGAACUUGAAAGAGCUCAAGUUGUCCUGCCUUCAUUUUGAUGACUCAUACAUGGACAACGUUUGUGUGGAGCUAAGAAAUCCAAACUGGAAACUGGAAAAACUGACGUAAGUCUAAGUUGGUCCCAUAGGUGGGGUUGCUGCCUAUGUAAGAGUGGGGAAAGUGAGGUAAAAAACUGAAGAAUAUGUGAAGAACAGUCUUAGGAGGAAAAGAAAGGAUAGCUCAGAAUCUAAAUGGUAAGAGAAUGAAAAGAAAAGUGGUGAAAAAGAG